GAGCCUGUAAAAGCCUCCAAAGCCACUCGCUUUCUUUUCUAUUAAAAAGCUCCUUAGAAGAAGACAACAUCAUCCCUCCAAAACCUACCAGCCUUUUCAUUAUUUUAUUCAUACAAUGACCAGUCUAUCAUGCGUUUUACCACUUUUAUCUCUUUGUUUAUCUUUUCUCUUACCUCCAUUUACUGAUCCCUUCGUCUCAUCUCUAUUUCUUUAUCAUUUUGUGGGCGAGAGUGUGUGUGUGGUAUUGUGUGCUUGUAACUAUAAAGACGAAGAUAAUAUAGAGACUUGAGUAUAUUUCAGCCUUGUUAGGUUUUGGUUGCUGAAUCAUGAGAAAGAAAUCAUGACUCAGUUAUAUAGAGAAGAAACCAUGAAAGAUGGAAAAGGGGUGUUUGGAAUGAAGUUUGAUCCAAGAUCCUUGUCUCUCCCGUUAACUUAGUCUCUGUUACUGUUAGGUUUUCAUUACUGAGUGUAUUUGCAGCCCCCUUGUCUGAUUUUAGCAUCGUGAGGGUAGGAAGUGCUGGUAAUCAUAGGGUUUGGUUCAAGAUCCAUUUGACUCUUCUCUUUAUAUCUCUCCUGUGUCCUAGCUGUUAAUCUGUAGUAGUCUUAAUUAUCCCUUACUUCUCGUUAAUUUUUAGGUUUGAUCUUGCAAGUAAUUAUAUUUGGAAAAUAUCAUAAAAUGAUCUCGGACCAGGCUUCAUUCCUUACACCUCGCUUUUCUUUUAUUAUCUGGUUACAAGAACCUAAUUAAGGUAUGCUCCUAAUCCCAUCCUUUUUCAAGGUCCUGAAACAAUACAUCUUUAUACCUGUUUAAGUCUGUAUAUAUAGAUUGUUUACUGCAUUUAUUGCUUUAUUUUCAAUCAUUAACGUGAAGAGCUUGAACUGAUAAUUCACUGAUCUAGAUCUUACCAUGUACUUCAAUAUUCGACUGGCUGCUGACAUCCUUUCAUAUUCCUUUCCUUUGUUACUGCUACUUAUUAAGCUUUUCAUUGACCUAUUUGUACGAUUGCAUGAAUUUGAUCAGAAAUACCUAGUAAUUUGUAUGAUGGAGUCCAAUGUUUUUAAUUUGAGAAAAACAUAUGUAGUAAUACAUCCCGCUUGUUUCUUCUCCCCAGUUAUUUCCCUUCCAACACAGAGAAUAUUCUCCAUUAACUAACAUCAAAGAUUCGCAGACAAACAAUACAAUACAAGACAUGUACGAAUGAUUCUUUAAUCAGAAAUAUUAAGAAUACAUAUAAUGUCAGGUAUAUAUACUUUAAUUCCAGCUUGGAACUUUGUAUCAAAUUUCCCUUUAAUGUGCCAAGUGUUUUUUACUCUUCAACACCUCGAGCCCUAAGCAAAUAUUUUGAUUCUUGGUCUGUUAGAAGGUCUGCUUCACGGUGAUGGAUUUCAUAAGUAUAAACCCUAACUGGGGCCUGAGAUCAUAUAUCUAUAUGCAUGCAUCAUGUGGGUUAAUUUACACACACAAACACACACACACACACACACACAGCUGGUAGUCCUUUUUUGUACCGUCCCAGGUUUAUAACUAUUACAUAUUUGACAUGAUGUAAUGAAAAAUGAAAUAUUGAUGCUGUUUUAAAAUAUUUUAAAUUAAUUUUCGACCAAUUUUGUUUCUUCAACCGAUUUAACUACAAUUGCUUAUUUCAUUAUUACCUUAAUUUCAUGCUCAGUUUACAAUAUUAUAUACAGUCAAAUUCAUUCUUAAUUAAAUAUCUUGUAUAUUGUUCACAUUUGAUCUUCUACCAGUGGCGAAAAUAAUGAUGUUGCAGAGUCAUAAUUUAACUGAUCAGGCUAUUAUCAUCGACAAAAUAUUUUUUUUAGGGCAUGGAGGCUCGUUUUCUACGUAUACCAUUUAGCUUUUUCUUGUUUUGGUUUUGUAAGUAUAUAAUUUUCAAUCCUAUUUUUAUAUGAGAUGACAUAAAGAGUUGUGAGAUUCUAACAUAGAUAAAUGUCAUCAUUGAUAUUGAUUUCGACCACAAAAAUAAUUGAUUUUAAUAUCAAUGAAUUUCAUUUGAUGAAGAGAAUUUUAUCUAGGUGUUAUUAUUUCCUUAUCUUUUCUCGAGAAUGUAGAUUUGCCUACAAGAAGAUUUUCAAGGUAUUUUUUGAGUUAUUUGAGGUAAAAAAUAGGUUUUUCAAAAUGUUUAGCAUGUUUUCAUAAUGUUUUGAGUUGAGAAUGAGUGUUUUAGCAAAAAAAAAAUAAAACCCUAAUUUUCCAGUGACCCUCUAGUCACUAGAUAUUCUUCAAAUAAAAGAUGGUGUAUCGUCUGCUUAUAUUAAACCCAAAAAUAGAAGUGGAUAAUAGGUUGUCCGUCCAUGAAAAAAUAAAAAAAUAAGUAGUACCUAAUUAUUUUAAUUUGCAUGCUAGGUCCACAUGCAUAGGCAUGCUAGGUCACUAAGACCUAAUUUUUUUUUUUUUUUUUAUUAUCUCAAUCUCAUGACCUGAGUAAUGAGUUUGGAAGGUUGACUCGGGUCAUUUUUUAAGUUAUUUUUCUAUUGAUUUUUUUCAAUUAUCCUUCAAUAUUAGGUUAUCAUGAUCUUAUAACUUGGUAUGUUGAUUGACAUGUUAACUUAAGUUAACACGAACUAAUCGAAUAUGUUUUUGUGUCAAUGUUUAUUAAGAAAAUCUCACCUUAAAUAUUUAUUUUGAUUCAAAAUAUAUUUUUAUAAAUCAUCCAAAUUGUUUUUGGAGGCACCAAGAUAACUGAAUUACAUCGGAACAAUUCUCACACGUUUAAAAAUUAUUCUAUUAUAAAAAACAUUGGCAACACCUAUAUUUUUUUACGUUAAAAAAAAUUGAUAUGAUUUGUGACGUUACACGAACUAAUGAUCUAAUAAAGAUCUAAAAGGAAAGAAACUCAAACCAAAAACAUAGCCACCUCCAUCAAAUUCCAAUAUAAAAGAAUUUCUUAUACCAAAUUAAAAAAUUCUCAAAUUCAUAAAUAAAUAAAAUAUUAAAAUUUGAAAUCUAGAAACUAAAAACCCUAAAUCUCUAACACUAGAAUCUUCAACAAAACCACAUAUAAAUAAUUUUGUUUACCAAAUCAAAUUCAUAAACCAAACAACUAUAAAUUUAAGAACUAAGAUUCAAAGAACCCCAAAUCAUCAACAUUGCCACUUUUCUCUUGAGUGAAUUUUUUAUGGAGUUAAUUUUUUUGAGAUAAAUGAUCGAGUGCUUAUAUCAAGAGGAGAAUAAGAAACAAAAAGAAAAAAGAUUAUAUAUAUAUAUAUGGUGGUGAGUUUGGCUGUGGUACUUUCAUGGUUGCAGUUGUUUGAGAGAGAGAGAGAGAUGGACCUAGAGAGAGUACAGGCAUUGUGUGAUUUGAUCUGGACUGAAUGUUUUUUAUAUCAAGACAUUCUUGUAUUGUUUAUUUAUUUUUCUGAUAAAUCAAUGUUAAUUGAAGAUUUAAAGGGCAAUUUUUUGAAAGAUUGGUAUGCAAAAUAUUUUGUAUUUAUUAAUUUUGUAAAGUGGUGAUGAAAUUACAUAUAGAUGUGCUGCUCAAUUAAGCAACAAGAUAUGAUUGAUUUCAUUUGGUAAAAUGUUGGGAAGGGAGAAAAAUUCAUGUGAUUGAACACUCUCUUUUUGUUGUUAUUAUACAAUAAUUAAGUAAAUGAUUACAUACACAAGAGAAAAUGUUACUUUGUUACGAAUUUUGUAUGCAGGAAACAGAGAAUGAGAGAAGUGAAAGAACGAUCACAUCAGGUUGCCGCAUAUUACAAAGGAUUCUUUUGGAUUAUAUAUUCACAUUUCAUGAGUAAAGAAAAACUUUUUUAGGAAAUUUGAAAUAGAGAAAUUCAGGGAAUUUUUGAAUUUUUUUUUGUUUAAAAUGAAUUUUUUUUUAUAUUUUCAGAUUGUUUUGAUGUGUUGAUAUUAAAAAUAUUUUUUUAAAAAUAUUUUUUUAUUUUAAUGUAUUUUUAAAUAAAAAAACAUUUUAAACUAUCACCGCUAUUAUAAUUUCAAACAAACCUCUGACAUUUAGGUUUGCACUUGAUUACACUUGUCGUUUUAAUUUUAGAAAGUACACCUUAGAAACAUAAAAUUUAAAUUUUGAUAAUUAGAAAAAUAAAAAUACUCUUACAUAAUAUUACCUCCAAUGUAUAAAUCAAUCCCAUCAUUUUUUUCUUUUCCAUAACUUUUCUCUCCCUCUCCACUAACAGAAAAUCAAACAUGAAUCAAAGCAAGAUUAUAUUCUAUUUGGGGUUUCUAAUAAGUUAGUGUUAUUUAAGGAUAUUCUUAUCAUGUUAAAGAUUAAUUAAUAAUUGUACAGUUGCAAAUGAUUAUAUUCUUUUAGGGUUCUAAUUCAGAUUUUUUUGUUAAAGAUUUAUACCAAACAGGUGAGCUAUGGACAUGGAUUAUGAACCUUACAUGCUCGUUGAAGGGAGGAAAGCCAAGGAGAAUCCACCCUUGCAAUCGCUAGACCAGAAGCUUUUGGCAGAGGCUUUCAAUAUGAACGGAAGACUAAUUUUAGCCUCAGAAGAACAAACCACCCACCCUAGUAGUAGAAGACCCUAUACCGUUGUUUUCAUCAUCAUCAUCAACAUCUUUUCAUCCUUCUAAACCUGUCAAGCCCCAGCGACACAUCCCUCAGAUUGAGGCAGCGAUAACGUGCUUGCAAUAGCUCUUGAAACAACCACUGAUUUAUCUUUGGAAUGCCUCAAACAAUUCUAUCUCAGAACUAGACACUUUUAACGAGGAAGAUGGUCCUGUCACUAGCAUGAGCUGGGCACUAGUCAUUUAUUUUCAAACUUUGACCGGAUUCCAGUGAGGAGAAAAGGGUGAUGGUGACAACUAGAGCUUUUUGUUUUUCUAACUUGUUGACAGUUGCAGAUUUUUAUUUAAAAAGACUCAUCAGUCAUAUAAUCCAAUUAUAACAGCAGUCCUGUAA